UACAGCAACACCAGGAAUGGUUACUAACAUCAGCGCCCGAGGAAACGGACCACUACAAGGAAAGUAUGGUGGUUACAGCAAAGGCAAGGCAAGAACAUAUCAAGUCCCUGACAGUCCAGGAGGCGCUAAACAUCUAUCCAUUCCUCAAGAGUCAGACAAUAGUAGUUGCCUUAUUGGAGUUCGAAAUACAGAGAGGAAACUGGUUAUGCCAAUCCCGAGUGGGUUGACGACCGUAACAGCCUUCAUUAAUGAACAGGAAAGUGAAGAGGAUAUCACUAGUGUACAGUAUACAGAUGACACAGUUGCUGCAAUUGCGCUGCGCUGUGGAGAUAGCACGGAUACACUAUUCACUAAGUCAUCCUGGAGAAACACCGCAGCUACGAGCUCUAUGUUGACAGGCAGCUGGUCUGCGCAUGUGACGGAGCAGC